UACAGAGGGUGCAAGCGUUGUUCGGAAUUACUGGGCGUAAAGCGCACGUAGGCGGACUGUUAAGUCGGGGGUGAAAUCCUGGGGCUCAACCUCAGAAUUGCCUCUGAUACUGGCAGUCUCGAGUGCGGGAGAGGUGAGUGGAAUUCCCAGUGUAGAGGUGAAAUUCGUAGAUAUUGGGAAGAACACCAGUGGCGAAGGCGGCUAACUGGUCCAGAUCUGACGCUGAGGUGCGAAAGCGUGGGGAGCAAACAGG
rnacentral:rRNA from 1 species